CCAGGUUGGCCGUCUCCCGGCGGCCGCGCUCCCCGUGGAACACGUAGUCCACGAACUCCAGCUGCACCCGCGGUGCGGAGGGGUGGCCACGGCGCCGGGGCGUGGAUGGGAAGGUGGCAGUGCAAGGCCAGGAGGAGGAGAGGAAGUCUCACUAUGUUGCCAGGCUAGAGUGCAGUGGCUAGUCACAGGUGUGAUUAUAACGCACCACAGCCUUGAACUCCUGGGUUCAAGUGAUGCUCCUGCCUCAGCCUCCCCAGGUGGGUGGGACUACAGGACUACUGGCUGCAGAUGCAUUUUUAACAAGCUCUCAGGCCAUUCAGCCCAAUUCUUCCUGACCCUCACCUCCAGAGGAGGCCACAGCUACCAGGAUGAGGGAUUCCUCACGCCCUGCAGGCUCCUCUGAAUACUGCAGUUUCUCCGUCACAGAGCCCAAAAUGUCCUG